rfam:Strongylocentrotus purpuratus Contig52172_fixed, whole genome shotgun sequence.
GUCAUUUUAGCUCAGUCGACAGAGCAUCAGACUUUUAACCUGAGGGUCAAGGGUUCAAGUCCCUUAUUAGGCA